UGGGGAAUAUUGGACAAUGGGCGAAAGCCUGAUCCCGCAAUGCCGCGUGAGUGAUGAAGGCCUUCGGGUUGUAAGGCUCUGCCGGGAGGGACGAAAAAGCGGAUUAACAAACCGCAUUGACGGUACCUCCAAAGGAAGCACCGGCUAACUCUGUGCCAGCAGCCGCGGUAAUACAGAGGGUGCAAGCGUUGUUCGGAAUUACUGGGCGUAAAGCGCGUGUAGGUGGCGAUGUAAGUCGGGUGUGAAAUCCCUCAGCUUAACUGAGGAAGUGCACUCGAUACUGUGUCGCUUGAGUGUUGGAGGGGAUGGCGGAAUUCCCGGUGUAGAGGUGAAAUUCGUAGAUAUCGGGAGGAACACCUGUGGCGAAGGCGGCCAUCUGGACAACUACUGACACUGAGACGCGAAAGCGUGGGUAGCAAAC
rnacentral:rRNA from 1 species